rnacentral:rRNA from 1 species
GACGAACCGUACGAACGUUAUUCGGAAUCACUGGGCUUAAAGGGUGCGUAGGCGGCGGUGCAAGUUGGGUGUGAAAUCCCUCGGCUCAACCGAGGAACUGCGCUCAAAACUGCGUCGCUUGAGGAAGAUAGAGGUGAGUGGAACUUAGGGUGGAGCGGUGAAAUGCGUUGAUAUCCUAAGGAACACCAGUGGCGAAAGCGACUCACUGGGUCUUCUCUGACGCUGAGGCACGAAAGCUAGGGUAGCGAACGGG